CAGUCGCCGCGGGAAUACGAAGGGUGCAAGCGUUAAUCGGAAUUACUGGGCGUAAAGCGUGCGUAGGCGGUGAGUUAAGUCUGCUGUGAAAUCCCCGGGCUCAACCUGGGAAUGGCAGUGGAUACUGGCUCGCUAGAGUGUGUCAGAGGAUGGUGGAAUUCCCGGUGUAGCGGUGAAAUGCGUAGAGAUCGGGAGGAACAUCAGUGGCGAAGGCGGCCAUCUGGGACAACACUGACGCUGAGGCACGAAAGCGUGGGGAGCAAACAGGAUUAGAUACCCCCGUAGUCCUGUCUCUUAUACC
rnacentral:rRNA from 1 species